AUGUCUUCAAGGCUACUUUGCGGAGCUGGAGCGGUGGCCACGCAGGCUCUCAGUGCCUGGGGUCCCAACAGAGUCGCCGCGGUGCACUCCAUGGCAUCUGGAGGUGGUGUCCCUACUGAUGAUGACCAGGAGACUGGGCUGGAGAGGGAGGUCAUGAAGGCUGCACAGAAAGGACUGGACCCAUACAAUAUACUAGCCCCAAAGGCAGCUGCAGGCACCAAGGAAGACCCUAAUUUAGUCCCAUCUAUCACCAAGAAGCAAAUAGUGGGCUGCAUCUGUAAAGGGGACGAUGGUAUCGUCAUCUUGUUCUGGCUGCACAGAGGUGAGGCCCAGCGAUGCCCUAGCUGUGGAACCCAUUACAAGCUGGUGCCACACCAGUUGGCCCACUGA